rnacentral:rRNA from 1 species
UGGGGAAUCUUGCGCAAUGGGCGACAGCCUGACGCAGCAACGCCGCGUGGGGGAAGACGGCCUUCGGGUUGUAAACCCCUUUCAGUUGGGACGAAGCUCGGUCGGUGAACAGCCGGCUGGAGUGACGGUACCUUCAGAAGAAGCCCCGGCUAACUACGUGCCAGCAGCCGCGGUAAUACGUAGGGGGCAAGCGUUGUCCGGAAUCAUUGGGCGUAAAGCGCGUGUAGGCGGCUCGAUAAGUCUGCUGUGAAAGUCCAAGGCUCAACCUUGGAAUGCCGGUGGAUACUGUCGAGCUAGAGUCCGGAAGAGGCGAGUGGAACUCCUGGUGUAGCGGUGAAAUGCGCAGAUAUCAGGAAGAACACCAACGGCGAAGGCAGCUCGCUGGGACGGUACUGACGCUGAGACGCGAAAGCGUGGGGAGCAAACAGG